GACGAACGCUGGCGGCGUGCUUAACACAUGCAAGUCGAACGGUAAGGCUCCAGCUUGCUGGGGUACACGAGUGGCGAACGGGUGAGUAACACGUGGGUGACCUGCCCUGCACUUCGGGAUAAGCCUGGGAAACCGGGUCUAAUACCGGAUAGGACCAUGGUGUGGAUACUGUGGUGGAAAGUUUUUUCGGUGUGGGAUGGGCCCGCGGCCUAUCAGCUUGUUGGUGGGGUAAUGGCCUACCAAGGCGGCGACGGGUAGCCGGCCUGAGAGGGUGGACGGCCACAUUGGGACUGAGACACGGCCCAGACUCCUACGGGAGGCAGCAGUGGGGAAUAUUGCACAAUGGGCGGAAGCCUGAUGCAGCGACGCCGCGUGGGGGAUGACGGCCUUCGGGUUGUAAACUCCUUUCACCAUCGACGAAGGGUUUCUGACGGUAGAUGGAGAAGAAGCACCGGCUAACUACGUG
rnacentral:rRNA from 1 species